rnacentral:rRNA from 1 species
GGAGUUAGCCGGUGCUUCUUCUGCGAGUAACGUCACAGAUGUAAGGUAUUAACUUACACCCUUUCCUCCUCGCUGAAAGUGCUUUACAACCCGAAGGCCUUCUUCACACACGCGGCAUGGCUGCAUCAGGGUUUCCCCCAUUGUGCAAUAUUCCCCACUGCUGCCUCCCGUAGGAGUCUGGGCCGUGUCUCAGUCCCAGUGUGGCUGAUCAUCCUCUCAGACCAGCUAGGGAUCGUCGCCUAGGUGAGCCUUUACCUCACCUACUAGCUAAUCCCACCUGGGCUUAUCCAUCAGCGCAAGGCCCGAAGGUCCCCUGCUUUCCCCCGUAGGGCGUAUGCGGUAUUAGCAGUCGUUUCCAACUGUUAUCCCCCACAAAUGGGCAAAUUCCCAGGCAUUACUCACCCGUCCGCCGCUCGUCAUCUUCAAAAGCAAGCUUUUGAAAUGUUACCGCUCGACUUGCAUGUGUUAGGCCUGCCGCCAGCGUUCAAUCUGAGCCAGAAUCAAACCUCUACGA